UACGAAGGGUGCAAGCGUUAAUCGGAAUUACUGGGCGUAAAGCGUGCGUAGGCGGUUUGUUAAGUCUGUUGUGAAAGCCCUGGGCUCAACCUGGGAAUGGCAAUGGAUACUGGCAAGCUAGAGUCAGGUAGAGGGUGGUGGAAUUCCCGGUGUAGCGGUGAAAUGCGUAGAGAUCGGGAGGAACAUCUGUGGCGAAGGCGGCUACCUGGACAGAUACUGACGCUGAGGCGCGAAAGCGUGGGGAGCAAACAGG
rnacentral:rRNA from 1 species